rnacentral:rRNA from 1 species
UACGUAGGGUGCGAGCGUUGUCCGGAAUUAUUGGGCGUAAAGAGCUUGUAGGCGGUCUGUCGCGUCUGCUGUGAAAUCCGGGGCUCAACCCCGGACUUGCAGUGGGUACGGGCAGACUAGAGUGUGGUAGGGGAGACUGGAAUUCCUGGUGUAGCGGUGAAAUGCGCAGAUAUCAGGAGGAACACCCGAUGGCGAAGGCAGGUCUCUGGGCCACUACUGACGCUGAGAAGCGAAAGCAUGGGGAGCGAACAGG